rnacentral:lncRNA from 1 species
GGAAGUACUGUUAUUCAAAACAUUUCACUUUUUCUCCACAGUCCAACUACUCAACUCCACACAAACAGUACCUAGAUUAAAUUAAAUACAUAAUAAUCUUUUUUUUUUUUCUAAACAAAAGGAAAAGCUACUUGAUGACAUGGUAAUUAAUCUAUUACUAAGGUUCAAGGAGAGCCCAUAAAUAGUUAUUAUUUAUUACACAAAGUGCACAAUAGGAGACCAAUGCACCAUGGUGCAUAUGGCCAUAUCCUUACCAUCACUAAACUUCCACUUGCACAUGAUAACCUGAAAAUGUAUCUACCAAGAAUCUAGGAUCACUCAGCAUUACCCUUGUUGUGGACGUGGUUCAUCUAAUCACCCCGCAACAUACACAAAAAUGGUGCAUACAUCAAUAAUACAGAAAAAAAGAAAGGAACAUUUGGGAUGAAUUUUGGAUCCUAAUCCUAAAGGAAUAGGUGACAGACCCUACAAAUUUUCAAUCUUCUUUGUCCUGUUUCUGCAUUUUCACAUCUUCAUGUGAGAGUAGAAGAUUAGUGAUGGUGAGGAUCUGGACCACCAGGACUUAGUCGGUUGGGCUUAUAACCUGUUCCCAACAACUGUUUCCUUCUUAGGAUUUCCUUCAACACUAUUUUGGCACUAAACACUAUUUUGGAACUCUCCAAAAUUUCAUGGUUUUCAUUAGUGCUUGAGAGUGAAGAAGGAAGAGGUCUUGCAUCAUGGCAGAUCAAAAUUGAUGUGAAGAGAAGGACAAAGCAUAAAAUUCUCCAACUUGCCAUAGGAAACGAUUUUAAGAUAUCAAAACAAGCCAAAGUGGUGCUGAGAUUCUACGCAGUGAUAGUUGGAGUAUGUAUAGAGGCACAUAG